rnacentral:sRNA from 12 species
GACCUAAACCCUAAAACCUUUAAUUUUUUAGAGCAUGGUUGCAAGUCCUGAGCAAUAAAGAUGGUCUUCUGACCAGUGCUUGUUGCUCAGGUCUAUGCCCGAAAGGGCGUAGGGUGGUUUCGAAAGAGACUGUC